UCUCAGGGCGGGGUGAAACUCCCCACCGGCGGUAGGGGCUGCGGCCCGAGCCCGCGAGCGCCUUCCCAAGUUUCGGCUAGGGAGGGGUCAGCAGAUCCGGUGUGACUCCGGAGCCGACGGUAUAGUCCGGAUGAA
rnacentral:ncRNA from 1 species